CUUUAAGCACAAUUGCAAACAACAUGGCUAGGGUAACUUUUGCAGUGGCUGCAGUUUGUGCUCUCCUUUUGAGAGUGUGCAGUCUCACAAAUGGGGAGGAAGACACCCCUCCAAUAACAAGCGCCUACUGCAAGAUCGGCUGGCUCCUUGGAAUACCAUGUGAUCAGGUUAAUUUGGCCAUUGUCACCCAAAUGAAAGCGGAGGCCUCAUACAAACUGGUGUCAGUGACUCCGAAACUAAUUCAGGCCAAUCACACAUCUGGGCUCAGUCAGCUUGAGAGUGUUAGCUUCAUAAUGAGAUCCACCACUAUAACCCAGGGCUGCUAUUUGGAAGUAAGGGAAACAAAACAUGGCAAAAGUGGUUUGCAAAUGUUUUCAUACAAAUACAACAGUUUUAUAUUUUCUGAAUCUAAAAUCGGUGUUUUAUUUGAAUUAUUGUAUCUGAUAAAUACAGAUUGAUUCAGACAGUAUCACCAUGACAACUCCACCCAUUUAAACCAUAAGGCAUGGCAUAAAGAGCAUAUAUCAGAGUA